UUUCUACUUCAGCAAAUACCAAAAUAGUUUUGUCGAGUUCCUGUUUGUAUACUUAACAUAUUGUCAUUCCACCCAUGCAUUUUAUGCGAAGUUCGUUGCAUCUUUUAAUAAAAUAGCGCGAUUAUCAAAACUACUGGAAGGAACAAAAAAAGAAGAGACUACAGCGCAGUAGUAAGCGGCGCGCUUUCGAAACUUAAACAAAUACAGCAAUUAGAUAUGAUUGGCGUUCCACUAACGCUUGAGUGCAAUCAAUAAUCAAGAAAUUAGUCACUAUUUAAUUUGUAAAUUAGACGCAAAUGUUGGACAACGAUGUAGUAGAAAAGGCAACGCUUAAGAAGCCACCAUGAUUAACCCGUAUUGGAUUACGUUGGCUGGCUAUGAGCUAAGAGUAAACGGGACCAGUUUUUCAAAUGCCAUGAAACCUAUCCAACCAGUCAGCUCUAGUCAGUACUCCAAUCAACCAACCGCACAAAUGAUGUGAUAUGUUGUUGUCAGUGUUUGUAUGUACGAGCGUGUGGUUGUGGCAAGAUGAAAUCCGAAAACCACAACACGUCUCUCAGAUUUUUUACUACGAAAUGCAAGUUACACACAUAGUCUUUUGUCAGCUCGAUAACCGCUAUUGCUUGGGGGAAAAAUCGAAGGUGCCCACUAAGUGUUUGUCUAUCGUUGUUGCUGUUUAUGUGGAUUCCUGCUGCUUCUGUCAGGUCUUGUGGUGCCAUAACUGGUGUUGGCGUUGACACUGAUGCCGACUUUGCUGUUGCUUCGGUGCAUAAAACCAAGUCUUAGAAUAGCUAAUUGAAUGUGUAAGCGUGUAGCGACAAUAGGAGUUAGUGUAACCAGAGGUGGACCAGUUUGUGUCCAAAAAAGGCACAGCGGAUGCAAUACCAUAUAUUGUAUGUAAAUAAAAAAUGUAUUUGCAAUAGA